CUUGGUCAUUUAGAGGAAGUAAAAGUCGUAACAAGGUUUCCGUAGGUGAACCUGCGGAAGGAUCAUUACUGAGUUUAUGAUGGGAAAGUUUGACGCCAAUCUUGGUUGAUUCUUUUCCUGACUAUUUUCUCUUCUCCCUUAUGUUAUAAAUUACCUAGUUGCUUUGGCAGAUCUGCAGCUUUCUUGUUGCAUGUUUGCCAAGGGAUACAUCCAUUAAACUCUUUAUGUUACCAUCAAUAAUUGGUUAUGACUUGUCAGAAUUUUAUACUUUUAAUAGUUUAUAAAACUUUCAACAAUGGAUCUCUUGGUUCUGGCAUCGAUGAAGAACGCAGCAAAAUGCGAUACGUAAUGUGAAUUGCAGAAUUUUGUGAAUCAUUGAAUCUUUGAACGCACAUUGCGCCUUUUGGUAAUCCAGAAGGCAUGCCUGUUUGAGUGUCAGUUCAUCUCUUAAACUAUCUUAUUUUAUGAAUAAGGUGGUUUAGUUUUGGAAAUCAAGCUUUUUCUAUUAUGAUAACGCUUAUUUCUGUAAUAUAGAACUUUAUAGUAUCUCACAUUACUCUUAGUUGUAACAAGUAAUCUGUCAGCUUUAAAAAGUAUGUGAAGAGUACUGCAAACUUUUACAGUGGUGUCAAUCUGUCACUUGUGACUUACUGGCUCUUCUACCUUUUAGUUUGACCUCAAAUCAGGUAAGGAUACCCGCUGAACUUAAGCAUAUCAAUAAGCGGAGGA
rnacentral:rRNA from 1 species